UAUGUUCCAGGCCACCUGUAUCUGAAGUUCAUUAGAAAUCUCAGCAUUUUACAUAAGAGAUGGCAUUUGAAUACUGACUUGAAGAAGGCAUUAGUCAGACAGAGACAAAGCUUUUGGUGCAGCAGGACCUACCACUUUGGGCUUCUUCCAGGAGCAGAAAACCAAUUAUAAAUAUGAAACAGAUUUCACGACUGGAACCAAACUUCACAUCCAAAAACAACAAACUUCUCAACCAAGAGUAUCUGAAAUAUAAACAGCAAGACCGAGGAUGUAAGAGCAACCACUCCACACCCGAUUCUCUGUUUUGCCUUAGGAGUUUGGUAUGCAGGGCCUUUUUCCAGAGAGACCUGCAUGACACCCUCCGAGGGGGGAGAAACUGCUUUUAAACACCAUCCUUAAUUUAUGGGUAAGAGCUGCUACUGUACCUGUGUGAAAGUCCCAUGAGAGUUCACUAAAUGUGUCUCUGCCAAUACCAAUGACCGAAAGAGACCUUCCAUUAACUUCUGAAUUAGCCAAAUGGGACAGACCUUAAUCUAAUAUGCGUUAUUUCAUUUUCUAGGUUACUUGUUUUAAAGGAAAUCAAGUAUACUCAUGGCUGUCGAAAGCUGUCCUGGGAGAUGUGCAUGGAAGGACUCUCUCUAAACAGAGCAGGCUUCUGAGGAAGCUGGGUGCAUGCCCGAGGGCCCAAUUUAGCUCAGUUGCCUUUUCUCACAGUAGGCAAAGCAACCCUCCCUCCAAAGAGCCAGGAGAGAAAUUGCACAUUAAUGAAAAUAAUGAGUACUGGCUCUGGAGUG